rnacentral:rRNA from 1 species
UGGGGAAUCUUGCGCAAUGGGGGAAACCCUGACGCAGCGACGCCGCGUGCGGGAUGAAGGCCUUCGGGUUGUAAACCGCUUUCAGCAGGGACGAGGCCUUAUGGUGACGGUACCUGCAGAAGAAGCUCCGGCUAAAUACGUGCCAGCAGCCGCGGUAAUACGUAGGUGGCAAGCGUUGUCCGGAAUUAUUGGGCGUAAAGCGCGCGCAGGUGGUUUAGAAAGUCUGAUGUGAAAGCCCACGGCUCAACCGUGGAGGGUCAUUGGAAACUAAUAAACUUGAGUGCAGGAGAGAAAAGUGGAAUUCCUAGUGUAGCGGUGAAAUGCGUAGAGAUUAGGAGGAACACCGGUGGCGAAAGCGGCUUUUUGGCCUGCAACUGACACUGAGGCGCGAAAGCGUGAGGAGCAAACAGG